AGAGAGAGAGAGAGAGAGAGAGAGAGAGAGGCAGAAAGCGGUACAUGGAAUGUUAUAUUCAUUGUCGCAAAGAAGCACCGGAGAUUACAUGAAAAGCAGUGGAACGAAUAGGAAAACACCCAACCAGCAGACCUCAGCCCCGCUCCCCCAUCAACUAUCUCUUUCAGCCCUCCCCACCAUUUUACACCCCGAAAACCUAAUCCGGCGCGGUGCUCACAGCUCGUAGACCUGCUUGCCGGUGAACUUGACCUCAAUUUGGCUGACGUUCUUCCCGAUGGAGCGGAGGUUCUGGCCCACCCCCUGGCGUCCGGGGUUGACCUUCUCAGGAUAGACACCAUCCUUGGGGUGGAGGUACUGCACCUCUCCAUUGGGGAAGACCCGGUAGAACUGGUACUUGAUCUUGUACUUGGACCUGAGGCGGGUGCCCAGGGCGAGGCACUGCUCCUUCCUCGCCAGCUUCAGCAGAUUGGGGCCCUGCCGCAUGAUUGCGGCGCCGCCGGUGGGCAUCUCGAAGACCUGCUCCUUGGGGGAGUCCCAGGUGAUCACGUAGAACUCCUCCACCUGCGCCUUCCUCAGGAGGCCCCCCGUGCUGCCGGCGAAGAUCGGCGAGGGCGUGUUGGGGUCCAGCUGCGGGGGGGUGAACCCUGCGGGGGCCUUCUCCUCCGCUGCCGGCGCCGCCGUCUCCUCGGUGGCGCGGGUCCUAAGGCUGCCGCGCGAGGCGGAGCCCAGCGGCUUCGCGGCGGCGAGCUUCCACGGCACCGCCACCCGCGCGGGGGCCGCGGAG
rnacentral:lncRNA from 1 species